rnacentral:rRNA from 1 species
GACAGAGGGUGCAAACGUUGCUCGGAAUCACUGGGCGUAAAGGGCGUGUAGGCGGGACAGUAAGUCGGGCGUGAAAUCCCUGGGCUCAACCCAGGAACUGCACUCGAAACUACUAUUCUUGAGUGUCGGAGAGGAAAGCGGAAUUCCUGGUGUAGAGGUGAAAUUCGUAGAUAUCAGGAGGAACACCAGUGGCGAAGGCGGCUUUCUGGACGAUAACUGACGCUGAUGCACGAAAGCUAGGGGAGCAAACAGG